AUGGACGAACAUUUUCUUUCUCAUUAUGCUAUUUUUGAGUAGCAUGUACACCAGUCUGAUGGGACUUUUUCAUCUUCCGUCUAAUUUUGAGAGCUGCAGCCAAACGUUAAGAAAUCAGCUUGCUGUGUGAAACUGAGUACAGGUUCAUGGUUACUGUGAAGAGCUGUUUGUGUUUCAUCAGAACUUUAUAUACAGCUUGUACAGUUUUUAAGAUGUUUUAUUGACAUGUUGUAUUUUAAGUAAAUACUUCUGAAGUGAAAUAAAGAAAAAGAAUGUUA